CACUGAGGAAGACUUGCAGGGAAGCUAU
rnacentral:piRNA from 1 species